AAUCUUCAAUGAACUCGCCGUCCUCUGAAGUGAGUCUAUGCCUCUGUUCUAUAGGAGACUCACAAGGCGGCCUACAAUGUUGAGACAUGUAUUUGUUUGAAAAUUUUUUUUUUAUGUUUAGGGAAGAAAAGAAAAUUUCGCUGCCAAGCCUUUUUCUUAUUUUUUUAAUUUCACUCGCUAUACUUUUUUCUUAUUGCUGGUUAAAUUAAAAACGGAUCGGCGAAUAUUUUAUUUAAAUGGAAAGUCAAUGUAUCUAACAAAUUACUUCUA
rnacentral:lncRNA from 1 species